rnacentral:rRNA from 1 species
CGAACGCCCCUUCGGGGGAGUGGCAGACGGGUGAGUAACGCGUGGGAACCUACCUUUCGGUACGGAACAACAGUUGGAAACGACUGCUAAUACCGUAUACGUCCUUCGGGAGAAAGAUUUAUCGCCGAUAGAGGGGCCCGCGUUGGAUUAGCUUGUUGGUGAGGUAAUGGCUCACCAAGGCGACGAUCCAUAGCUGGUCUGAGAGGAUGAUCAGCCACACUGGGACUUAGGCACGGCCCAG